rnacentral:misc_RNA from 1 species
UUUCCGUAGGUGAACCUGCGGAAGGAUCAUUACAGAGUUCAUGCCCUAACGGGUAGACCUCCCACCCUGUGUUAUAUACUCUUGUUGCUUUGGCAGGCCGCCUUCGGGCUCCCGGCUUCGGCUGGUGCGUGCCCGCCAGAGGACCCCAAACUCUGAAUGUUAGUGUCGUCUGAGUACUAUCUAAUAGUUAAAACUUUCAACAACGGAUCUCUUGGUUCUGGCAUCGAUGAAGAACGCAGC